UACGUAGGUGACAAGCGUUGUCCGGAUUUACUGGGUGUAAAGGGCGCGUAGGCGGACUGUCAAGUCAGUCGUGAAAUACCGGGGCUUAACCCCGGGGCUGCGAUUGAAACUGACAGCCUUGAGUAUCGGAGAGGAAAGCGGAAUUCCUAGUGUAGCGGUGAAAUGCGUAGAUAUUAGGAGGAACACCAGUGGCGAAGGCGGCUUUCUGGACGACAACUGACGCUGAGGCGCGAAAGUGUGGGGAGCAAACAGG
rnacentral:rRNA from 3 species